rnacentral:rRNA from 1 species
AUUGAACGCUGGCGGCAUGCCUUACACAUGCAAGUCGAACGGCAGCACGGGAGCAAUCCUGGUGGCGAGUGGCGAACGGGUGAGUAAUAUAUCGGAACGCGCCCAGUCGUGGGGGAUAACGCAGCGAAAGCUGUGCUAACACCGCAUACGAUCUACGGAUGAAAGCGGGGGAUCGCAAGACCUCGCGCGAUUGGAGCGGCCGAUAUCAGAUUAGCUAGUUGGUGAGGUAAAGGCUCACCAAGGCGACGAUCUGUAGCUGGUCUGAGAGGACGACCAGCCACACUGGAACUGAGACACGGUCCAGACUCCUACGGGAGGCAGCAGUGGGGAAUUUUGGACAAUGGGCGCAAGCCUGAUCCAGCAAUGCCGCGUGCAGGAUGAAGGCCUUCGGGUUGUAAACUGCUUUUGUACGGAGCGAAAAGGCUCCCUCUAAUACAGGGGGCUCAUGACGGUACCGUAAGAAUAAGCACCGGCUAACUACGUGCCAGCCGCCGCGGUAA